UCCCGGAGUAGAAGCAGUCGGGUGCGCCCGGACAUUGCUCCUCAA
rfam:Rhizobium sp. Root564 contig_10, whole genome shotgun sequence.